UUCCCACAUUUAGCUAAACCUUCUAAGGUUUCUUACAUCUGUACUUCUUACAUCAUGUCUUUAACUGUCACCACAGCUCUGUUUCACUCACUGACCACUGAUCUCGAUGAGAUCAUCAUGCCAGUAGAUGGUACUGAACUCCAUCUAGUGUUUGGAGACAUCACUAAUGAGACUACUGAUGCCAUCGUGAACACCACUGACUUUAAGGACUUCCAGACAGCUGGAGUGUGUAAGGACAUCCUUACUAAGGCAGGAUCUCAAAUCCAGGCUCAACUGACAGGCGCUCAGGUAGCAAGAGGGCAGAUAUUCACGACCCCACCAGGAGGCUUCCCCUGUAAGACCAUCAUGCAUGUUUGUGGACUGAGGGACCCUGGUGUUAUCGAGACCUUGGCAAAAGAAAUAGUGGUUCAAAGUGAGCAGGGCUGCUACAGGUCUGUGGCCAUCCCUGCGAUCUGUGCUGGACAAGGAGGUUUGGAUCCAAAUGUGGUGGCCAAAUCCAUUCUAGAGGGAGUAAAGGAUGGUGUUCAAGGAGCAAAUCUUCAACAUCUCAAAUGCAUUCGGAUUGUUCUGCUGAAGAUUAAUGUUUUCCUGGCAUUCAAAGCAACUGCAAAGCAAAUCUUUAGUGGUAAUACACAGUUCACAGCUCCUGCACCACUUGUAUCUACCAGUGUAAUCACCAGAGGGCGCAGUGCAUCAACUAGAUCAAGCAGAUCACGUUCCUUAACCUCACCAGUCACUUUGGACUUGAGUUCUCUAGUGACAUCUUUGCCUGACACAGAGAGCAGAGCAGCAUUUCUAGUCAUUGGUCACACCGAUAAUGAAGUGUCUGAUGCCUGUAGAGAACUUCAGCAGGCAUAUAAGGACCAGUGCUCCACACACACUUUCUAUCCUCAUGUGAUCAGGUGCCUCACUCGGGAAGAGAUGGAGCAGCUGCUCUCUAUUCUGAAUUCUAAAUAUCUGCAGAUGGAGCAGAGUUCUGAUAGAUGGAUAGUAAAAGGACUGAAGGAUGGAGUGAAUAAGCUGGUUAGACUGAUACAAGAUGCACUUUGUAGACAGGUAAGAGCCCAGGAGCAGUCCAUCCUCUUCAAUGAAGUCACAUGGUGCAUUCUGGGAUCACGGGGCAUUUGGCAGAAGGUACCAAUAGACAUGAAUUAUAAGCUUGAGAAAAAAGAUGUGGAAGAUGGAAUUGUGGAUGCACAGGGUGUGAAAUGGACUGUGAAUCUGAGAAAGAUGGAGGCCAAAGCAUGUCAUUCAGGAGAGGUGACCGCUCUCAAACGACUGUAGAACCUUUCGGAUUUCUCUUUGCCAAUCUACUGGGACAACAUGAGUCAAGGUGACUCCUUACAGGUGAUAGACCUAGAUCAGUCAUCCACGGAGUACCAGACUCUGAAGGCAGACUUCAAGAAGACUGUCACAAAAACAGUGCUCAAGAUCCAGCGCAUCCAGAACAUGAAUCUUCGGCGGUUAUACGAGGGGCGUAAAAAAGAGCUGGAGAGCAAAAAUGGUUCUGUGGGAGCAGCAGAGAAGAUCCUAUAUCACGGCACAUCAGAGGGAUCCUGCUCAUCCAUCAUGCAGUCAAACUUUAAUCGCAAUUUUGCAGGGCAAAAUGCCACCUGCUACGGACAUGGGACGUACUUUGCUGUGAACGCCAGCUACUCUGCCCAAAAUAAGUAUGCAGUUCCUGCAGCAGACGGGACUCAGCUCAUGUUUGUGGCUCGUGUGCUAACGGGUUACCACACUCAGGGUCAGGCGGACAUGAAGACGCCCCCUGUUCGUGUGGCACCUGACCUCUAUGACAGUGUGGUGGAUAAUUUGCAGAAUCCCUCCAUGUUUGUGGUUUUCCACGACUGCAAGGCUUAUCCAGACUACCUCAUCACAUUCAAAUGAUCUUCAACAUAACCAAGUUGUCUUGAGAUCUCGAAGACUUAUAAACAGUGAUUAGUGAGAUAGUUGAUUUUACAUUUAAAUGUAAUAAUUUAGGGUAUACUUAUAUUCAGAGGGUUUGAGUUAGUUACUACACACCUUUUUUUUGCUUUAAGCUACAAUUAACAAGUGCUCAGUAAAUGUGAAUGUAUUAGUUAUGUAUAUAAUUCAGAUUAUGCAAAUUAAUAAUAGCAAAUAAAAAUUUAUGGUUUUCAGGAAAUCUUGAAAUUCACAAGAAUGUAUGAGCAGAAAAUGUGCUAUAUUAAUUGAUGAAGCAUCUGUAGAUUAUGGAACAGUAUCAUAUAAAAAAAUACUUGUGCAAACCACAGAAACCAUGCAGCUAUGAUAUUCAGCUUCAGGGCAAUUGAUUCAUCACUCCAGGAUAAAAGCAGGGCUCUUUAAAAUUUGAUUUGAUUGUAUUCCAACUCUUCCUUCUCAGUUCCCAUGUCUGCUUCAGGCUCCAUGAAGAAACCAUUUGAAAUUGUUUUGGAUGAAAUGUACAGUAGGAGUUUGUGCAAGUUGCAGACAAAGCAAUACUUUCAAUCAUUAACCCGAGUACUUCUGGGUCAUGUCAAGUCACCUUUAUUUAUAUAAUGCUUUUAACAAUACAGAUCAUGUCUGUUAAAAAUAAUUUAACUCUUUAUCUUUCGAUGCCGUCCGACUAUUCUCAGUCCUUGCAUUGGCCCAUGGGAAGAAUUAUGAACAUAAAGCCAAUUGUCUGUUCACCAACUUCUUCUAAGUUUAUUAUUACUUCCAUAAAUUAUAUAGUUGCAUUGCAAGGGGUGGUGCAGUGAUUAAUCCAAUGAGAUACAGAUUGCAUAUAUGUUGUGUAUGAUAAAUAAAGGAUCUGAACAUAUAAGGAAUAGUUUCUAGCAGAGGGAUGCUUCAACCUAAAGGACAGACGAAACCAGUAACCUGGGUCAGAGAAGGGCCCCCACCAUUUGAACCCUAAGUAUCCUAGGCAUGUGUGUAUACAUUGAGAGGAAGGGAUAAGAAUAGAGUAUAGAAGGAGAGAGCACAGACAGGCAAACUUACAAAAUAUUUUGGUAGAGAGCGUGAUAUAACCUAACAGUGUCAAAGCAACUGAACAACAUUAAUUAGGAAAAUAGUGUGUCAAUAAUGCAAAAUGACAACAGUAAAAACUAAUUUUUAAGUUAUUCAUUGAAUUCAGUGAUGUCAUCAUGGAGCUCAGUUCAGUUCUGGGAAACGUAUGAAUCCAUGAAAACUGUCUAUAUUGUAACAAAAACAUUAGUUUUUUUUCUCAUAUUAUUUGGCUUAAUUUCUACAUUAUCUGAAAAUAAUUUAGCUGCACAUAAAAUA